AUUGAACGCUGGCGGCGUGCCUUACACAUGCAAGUCGAACGGCAGCACGGGAGCUUGCUCCUGGUGGCGAGUGGCGAACGGGUGAGUAAUACAUCGGAACGUACCCAGGAGUGGGGGAUAACGUAGCGAAAGUUACGCUAAUACCGCAUAUUCUGUGAGCAGGAAAGCGGGGGAUCGCAAGACCUCGCGCUCUUGGAGCGGCCGAUGUCGGAUUAGCUAGUUGGUGAGGUAAAAGCUCACCAAGGCGACGAUCCGUAGCAGGUCUGAGAGGAUGAUCUGCCACACUGGGACUGAGACACGGCCCAGACUCCUACGGGAGGCAGCAGUGGGGAAUUUUGGACAAUGGGGGCAACCCUGAUCCAGCCAUGCCGCGUGAGUGAAGAAGGCCUUCGGGUUGUAAAGCUCUUUCGGCGGGGAAGAAAUGGCAACGGCUAAUAUCCGUUGUUGAUGACGGUACCCGCAUAAGAAGCACCGGCUAACUACGUGCCAGCCGCCGCGGUAACAC
rnacentral:rRNA from 1 species